rnacentral:rRNA from 1 species
CCUACGGGGGGCAGCAGUAGGGAAUCUUCCACAAUGGACGAAAGUCUGAUGGAGCAACGCCGCGUGAGUGAAGAAGGGUUUCGGCUCGUAAAGCUCUGUUGGUAGUGAAGAAAGAUAGAGGUAGUAACUGGCCUUGAGUUGACGGUAAUGACGGAGAAAGGCACGGCUAACUACGUGCCAGCAGCCGCGGUAAUACGUAGGUGGCAAGCGUUGUCCGGAUUUAUUGGGCGGAAAGCGAGUGCAGGCGGUUCAAUAAGUCUGAUGUGAAAGCCUUCGGCUCAACCGGAGAAUUGCAUCAGAAACUUUUGAACUUGCGUGCAGAAGCGGCGAGUGGCACUCCAUGUGUAGCGGUGGAAUGCGUAGAUAUAUGGAAGAACACCAGUGGCGACGGCGGCUCUCUGGUCUGCACCUGACGCUGAGGCUCGAACGCCUGGGUAGCGAACAGGAUUAGAUACCCGGGUAGUC